GACGAACGCUGGCGGCGUGCUUAACACAUGCAAGUCGAACGGAAAGGCCCUGCUUGCAGGGUACUCGAGUGGCGAACGGGUGAGUAACACGUGGGUGAUCUGCCCUGCACUUCGGGAUAAGCCUGGGAAACUGGGUCUAAUACCGGAUAGGAGCCAUUUUUAGUGUGAUGGUUGGAAAGUUUUUUCGGUGUAGGAUGAGCUCGCGGCCUAUCAGCUUGUUGGUGGGGUAAUGGCCUACCAAGGCGGCGACGGGUAGCCGGCCUGAGAGGGUGGACGGCCACAUUGGGACUGAGAUACGGCCCAGACUCCUACGGGAGGCAGCAGUGGGGAAUAUUGCACAAUGGGCGCAAGCCUGAUGCAGCGACGCCGCGGGGGGGAUGACGGCCUUCGGGUUGGAAACUCCUUCCGCUAGGGACGAAGCUUUUUGUGACGGUACCUAGAGAAGAAGCACCGGCUAACUACGUG
rnacentral:rRNA from 1 species